UGGAGUUAUAAACAAACAAAGCCAAACAAAGACCCCGCGCAGAGCUGCGAAACGCUGCGAGCUGGCGAGGGGCCAGCACGGCACGGCCCCAAACGUCACCGAGUUGCUCAACAAGCGGGUGGUUUGCAGGCAGAUGUGUCCCUGGGAGGGAGGA